UUUUUUGCGCAGUGGCGAUAUCGUAACCAAUGAGGUUAUACCGAGGUGCGAUUAUUGCUAAUUGAAAAAAUCCUAUUCAAUUGUGUAUCAUGUUUGCUACAAAGAAUUUAAUAUUUCUGCAUUAAAAAAGUAUUU